rnacentral:rRNA from 1 species
UGCCAGCCGCCGCGGUAAUACGGAGGGUGCAAGCGUUAAUCGGAAUUACUGGGCGUAAAGCGCGCGUAGGCGGCUUUGUAAGUCGGAUGUGAAAGCCCUGGGCUUAACCUGGGAAUUGCAUUCGAUACUGCAUGGCUAGAGUAUGGUAGGGGAUAGUGGAAUUCCUGGUGUAGCGGUGAAAUGCGUAGAUAUCAGGAGGAACAUCAGUGGCGAAGGCGGCUAUCUGGACCAAUACUGACGCUGAGGUGCGAAAGCUAGGGUAGCAAACGGGAUUAGAUA